rnacentral:rRNA from 1 species
CGUGUAGGCGGUUUGGCAAGUCAGAUUUGAAAGCCCUGGGCUCAACCCAGGAAGUGCAUUUGAAACUGCCAUCCUUGAGUAUGGGAGAGGAGAGUGGAAUUCCCAAUGUAGAGGUGAAAUUCGUAGAUAUUGGGAGGAACACCCGUGGCGAAGGCGACUCUCUGGACCAAUACUGACGCUGAGACGCGAAAGCGUGGGGAGCAAACA